rnacentral:rRNA from 1 species
CCUACGGGUGGCAGCAGUAAGGAAUAUUGGUCAAUGGAGGAACCUCUGAACCAGCCAUCCCGCGUGAAGGAUGAAGGGGCUCUGCCUUGUAAACUUCUUUUGUCUGGGGCGAAAAAGCUCGAUUUAUCGAGAACUGACGGUACCAGAAGAAUAAGCACCGGCUAACUCCGUGCCAGCAGCCGCGGUAAUACGGAGGGUGCAGGCGUUAUCCGGAAUCACUGGGUUUAAAGGGUGCGUAGAAGGCUUAGGAGAAAGGCUUGGGCUUAACCAUGGAAGUGGCAUUGAUACUGCAGAGCUUGAAGGAGGUUGAGGUUGGCGGAAUGUGACAUGUAGCGGUGAAAUGCUUAGAUAUGUCAUGGAACACCGAUUGCGAAGGCAGCUGACUGGACCUAUAUUGACGCUGAGGCACGAAAGCGUGGGGAGCGAACAGGAUUAGAUACCCCUGUAGUC